rnacentral:rRNA from 1 species
GACGAACCGUCCAAACGUUAUUCGGAAUCACUGGGCUUAAAGGGUACGUAGGCGGCUUGGAAAGUUGGGUGUGAAAUCCCUCGGCUCAACCGAGGAACUGCACUCAAAACUGCCAGGCUUGAGGGAGAUAGAGGUAAGCGGAACUCAGGGUGGAGCGGUGGAAUGCGUUGAUAUCCUGGGGAACACCAGUUGCGAAGGCGGCUUACUGGGUCUCUUCUGACGCUGAGGUACGAAAGCUAGGGGAGCGAACGGG